AGGUCAAGUGAAGAAGGGCGCACGGUGAAUGCCUUGGCACUGGAAGCCGAUGAAGGACGCGACUAACCGCGAAAGUCUUCGGGGAGCCGUAAGUAGGCUUUGAUCCGGAGGUCUCCGAAUGGGGGAACCCAGCAUGUGCAGACAUGCUAUCCUUAAGUGAAUACAUAGCUUAAGGAGGGAACACGCAGUGAACUGAAACAUCUAAGUAGCUGCAGGAAGAGAAAGAAAUAUCGAUUUCCCAAGUAGCGGCGAGCGAACAGGAAAGAGCCCAAACCGGCAGAUUUAUCUGCCGGGGUUGUAGGACUGAGACAUGGCACUUCAGAGGAUAGCAGAAGCGUUUGGGAAAGCGCGCCAGAGAGGGUGAGAGCCCCGUAAGCGAAAUCCAAAGAAGGCCUAUCAGUAUCCUGAGUAGGGCGGGACACGUGAAAUCCCGUUUGAAUCCGCGAGGACCAUCUCGCAAGGCUAAAUACUAACCAGUGACCGAUAGUGAACCAGUACCGUGAGGGAAAGGUGAAAAGAACCCCGGGAGGGGAGUGAAAGAGAACCUGAAACCGUGUGCCUACAAGUAGUCAGAGCCCGUUAACGGGUAAUGGCGUGCCUUUUGUAGAAUGAACCGGCGAGUUGCGUUAGUCAGCAAGGUUAAGUCAGAAAAGACGGAGCCGUAGCGAAAGCGAGUCUGAAGAGGGCGAGCAGUUGGCUGACGCAGACCCGAAACCAAGUGACCUACCCAUGACCAGGUUGAAGGCGCGGUAAAACGCGCUGGAGGACCGAACCCACGUAAGUUGAAAAUUGCGGGGAUGAGUUGUGGGUAGCGGUGAAAUUCCAAACGAACUUGGAGAUAGCUGGUUCUCUCCGAAAUAGCUUUAGGGCUAGCCUCGCAAAGAGGAUGCUGGAGGUAGAGCUCUGUUUGGACUAGGGGCCCGUCAAGGGUUACUGAAUUCAGAUAAACUGCGAAUUCCAGACAUUUAUGUGCGGGAGUCAGACUGCGAGUGAUAAGAUCCGUAGUCGAAAGGGAAACAGCCCAGAUCACCAGUUAAGGUCCCAAAAUUCAUGCUAAGUGGAAAAGGAUGUGGAGUUGCGCAGACAACUAGGACGUUGGCUCAGAAGCAGCCAUCAUUCAAAGAGUGCGUAAUAGCUCACUAGUCGAGUGACGCCGCGCCGAAAAUUUACCGGGGCUAAGCAUGAUACCGAAACUGUGGAUGUGCGUUUAUGCACGUGGUAGGAGAGCGUUCUAGCGGCGGUGAAGCAUGACCGAGAGGACAUGUGGAGCUUCUAGUAACUUGGAUGUGCAUUUAUGCACGUGGUAGGAGAGCGUUCUAGCGGCGGUGAAGCAUGACCGAGAGGACAUGUGGAGCUUCUAGAAGUGAGAAUGCCGGUAUGAGUAACGAAAGACAGGUGAGAAUCCUGUCCGCCGCAAGACUAAGGUUUCCUGGGGCAGGCUCGUCCGCCCAGGGUAAGUCGGGACCUAAGGCGAGGCCGAGAGGCGUAGUCGAUGGACAACAGGUUGAAAUUCCUGUACUGCACCGAAUCGUUAUGAGCGAUGGAGGGACGCAGGAGGCUAGCAGCGCGUGGUGCUGGAUACCACGUUCAAGCGUCAAGUCUGAGAGCGAGUCAAAUGCUUGCUCUCAUAAGGACAAGGCGUGAUGAGGAGCGAAAUUAAAGUAGCGAAGGCUGCGACGUCACACUGCCGAGAAAAGCUUCUAGCCAGAGACGGUGCACCCGUACCGCAAACCGACACAGGUAGUCGAGGAGAGUAUCCUCAGGUGAGCGAGAGAACUCUCGUUAAGGAACUCGGCAAAAUGGCCCCGUAACUUCGGGAGAAGGGGCGCUGGUCGCAAGAUCAGCCGCAGUGAAAAGGCCCAAGCAACUGUUUAUCAAAAACACAGGCAUCUGCAAAAUCGUAAGAUGAAGUAUAGGUGCUGACACCUGCCCGGUGCUGGAAGGUUAAGAGGAGAGCUUAGCGCAAGCGAAGGUUUGAAUUGAAGCCCCAGUAAACGGCGGCCGUAACUAUAACGGUCCUAAGGUAGCGAAAUUCCUUGUCGGGUAAGUUCCGACCUGCACGAAAGGUGUAAUGAUUUGGGCACUGUCUCAACGAGAGACUCGGUGAAAUUAUAAUACCCGUGAAGAUGCGGGUUACCCGCGACAGGACGGAAAGACCCCAUGGAGCUUUACUGCAGUUUAAUAUUGGGUAUCUGUCAAGCAUGUACAGGAUAGGUAGGAGCCGGAGAAGAUAGGACGCCAGUCUUAUCUGAGGCGCUGUUGGGAUACUACCCUUGCUUGACGGAUGCUCUAACUCAGGUCUGUGAUCCAGGCCGAGGACAGUGUUUGACGGGCAGUUUGACUGGGGCGGUCGCCUCCUAAAGUGUAACGGAGGCGCCCAAAGGUUCCCUCAGAAUGGUUGGAAAUCAUUCGCAGAGUGUAAAGGUAAAAGGGAGCUUGACUGCGAGAGAGACAACUCGAGCAGGUACGAAAGUAGGGCUUAGUGAUCUGGUGGUACCGUAUGGAAGGGCCAUCACUCAACGGAUAAAAGCUACCCUGGGGAUAACAGGCUUAUCUCCCCCAAGAGUUCACAUCGACGGGGAGGUUUGGCACCUCGAUGUCGGCUCGUCGCAUCCUGGGGCUGAAGUCGGUCCCAAGGGUUGGGCUGUUCGCCCAUUAAAGCGGCACGCGAGCUGGGUUCAGAACGUCGUGAGACAGUUCGGUCCCUAUCCGUCGUGGGCGUAGGAAAUUUGAGAGGAGCUGUCCUUAGUACGAGAGGACCGGGAUGGACGCACCGCUGGUGUACCAGUUGUCUUGCCAAAGGCAUCGCUGGGUAGCUAUGUGCGGACGGGAUAAGCGCUGAAAGCAUCUAAGUGCGAAGCCCCCCUCAAGAUGAGAUUUCCCAUUUCUUCAAGAAAGUAAGACACCUCAGAGACGAUGAGGUAGAUAGGCCGGGAGUGGAAGAGCCGUGAGGCUUGGAGCGGACCGGUACUAAUCAGUCGAGGACUUGACCAAAA
rnacentral:rRNA from 1 species